AGUGAACGCUGGCGGUGGGCCUAACACAUGCAAGUCGAACGGCAGCACAGGAGAGCUUGCUCUCUGGGUGGCGAGUGGCGGACGGGUGAGGAAUACAUCGGAAUCUACUCUGUCGUGGGGGAUAACGUAGGGAAACUUACGCUAAUACCGCAUACGACCUACGGGUGAAAGCAGGGGAUCUUCGGACCUUGCGCGAUUGAAUGAGCCGAUGUCGGAUUAGCUAGUUGGCGGGGUAAAGGCCCACCAGGGCGACGAUCCGUAGCUGGUCGGAGGGGAUGAUCGGCCACACUGGAACUGAGACACGGUCCAGACUCCUACGGGAGGCAGCAGUGGGGAAUAUUGGACAAUGGGCGCAAGCCUGAUCCAGCCAUACCGCGUGGGUGAAGAAGGCCUUCGGGUUGUAAAGCCCUUUUGUUGGGAAAGAAAUCCAGCUGGCUAAUACCCGGUUGGGAUGACGGUACCCAAAGAAUAAGCACCGGCUAACUUCGUGCCAGCAGCCGCGGUAA
rnacentral:rRNA from 1 species